GACGAACGCUGGCGGCGUGCUUAACACAUGCAAGUCGAACGCUGAAGCACCAGCUUGCUGGUGUGGAUGAGUGGCGAACGGGUGAGUAAUACGUGAGUAACCUGCCCUUGACUCUGGGAUAAGCCCGGGAAACUGGGUCUAAUACUGGAUGCUACAUGUCACCGCAUGGUGGUGUGUGGAAAGGGUUUACUGGUCUUGGAUGGGCUCACGGCCUAUCAGCUUGUUGGUGAGGUAAUGGCUCACCAAGGCGACGACGGGUAGCCGGCCUGAGAGGGUGACCGGCCACACUGGGACUGAGACACGGCCCAGACUCCUACGGGAGGCAGCAGGGGGGAAGAUUGCACAAUGGGCGAAAGCCUGAUGCAGCGACGCCGCGUGAGGGAUGACGGCCUUCGGGUUGGAAACCUCUUUCAGCAGGGAAGAAGCCACAAGUGACGGUACCUGCAGAAGAAGCGCCGGCUAACUACGUG
rnacentral:rRNA from 1 species